AAUGGUUUUUUGUUUAAAUGUUUUUUCGCCUAAGGAUGGGUCUGCGGCCGAUUAGGUAGUUGGUUAGGUAAUGGCUUACCAAGCCGUUGAUCGGUACGGGUUGUGAGAGCAAGAGCCCGGAGAUGGAACCUGAGACAAGGUUCCAGGCCCUACGGGGUGCAGCAGGCGCGAAACCUCCGCAAUGUGAGAAAUCGCGACGGGGGGAUCCCAAGUGCCAUUCUUAACGGGAUGGCUUUUCAUUAGUGUAAAGAGCUUUUGGAAUAAGAGCUGGGCAAGACCGGUGCCAGCCGCCGCGGUAACACCGGCAGCUCUAGUGGUAACAAUUUUUAUUGGGCCUAAAGCGUCCGUAGCCGGUUUAAUAAGUCUCUGGUGAAAUCCUGUAGCUUAACUGUGGGAAUUGCUGGAGAUACUAUUAGACUUGAGACCGGGAGAGGUUAGAGGUACUCCCAGGGUAGAGGUGAAAUUCUGUAAUCCUGGGAGGACCGCCUGUUGCGAAGGCGUCUAACUGGAACGGUUCUGACGGUGAGGGACGAAAGUUAGGGGCGCGAACCGGAUUAGAUACCCGGGUAGUCCUAACUGUAAACGAUGCGGACUUGGUGUUGGGGUGGCUUUGAGCUGCUCCAGUGCCGAAGGGAAGCUGUUAAGUCCGCCGCCUGGGAAGUACGGUCGCAAGACUGAAACUUAA
rnacentral:rRNA from 1 species